AUUGAACGCUGGCGGCGUGCCUAACACAUGCAAGUCGAGCGGUAACAGGUGUAGCAAUACAUGCUGACGAGCGGCGGACGGGUGAGUAACGCUUGGGAAUCUGCCUAUUAGUGGGGGACAACCCGGGGAAACUCGGGCUAAUACCGCAUACGCACUACGGUGGAAAGCCGGGGACCGCAAGGCCUGGCGCUAACAGAUGAGCCCAAGUCGGAUUAGCUAGUUGGUAGGGUAACGGCCACCAAGGCGACGAUCCGUAACUGGUCUGAGAGGACGACCAGUCACACCGGAACUGAGACACGGUCCGGACUCCUACGGGAGGCAGCAGUGGGGAAUAUUGGACAAUGGGCGAAAGCCUGAUCCAGCGACGCCGCGUGGGUGAAGAAGGCCUGCGGGUUGUAAAGCCCUUUUCAGUGGGGAAGAAAAGCCUCGAGCUAACACCUCGGGGUCUUGACGUAACCCAUAGAAGAAGCACCGGCUAACUCUGUGCCAGCAGCCGCCGCGGUAAC
rnacentral:rRNA from 1 species